UUUCACUUAUCUUUAAUAAAAAAAAAAAAAAUUCGGAUACAAAAAUACACAUUGCCGAAUAUCAGGCAAGAUCGGGAAAACUAUACUGAUUCGUAUAUGGGCGUCGUAUCUAUAUUUUUACACUUUAUGACAAAAAAAAAGGGUCUUCUGGAUCACAGUGCUAAUGGCAUCAUGCCUAAUGGUCUUGCUUACUUGCCAAUUAACAUUUCCAAUGGACUUGCUUUAGUAACUCGAUUUAUUGUACAGUUUAAAGUAAACUGAACAUCUUUUAACGCAUCUUGCCAAAAUCGUUUACUUGUCUCUACAGCCGUCAACAUUGCCUUCAUAGUAGUCAUAGUGCCCAUUCGACUGACUAGCACCAGUUGCUAUCAAAUGAUAUUCAAUUUUCUGUGCUGAGAAAACCGACGGAAAUCGUUACUUGUAAAACUCCGGCCCCGAUCAGCGAUUAUACGAUUUGGUACCCCGAAUAAGGAUAUGGCUGACUUUACUGCCCCAAUGCAACCUUCUGUAUCUAAAUUUAAAGAGUUAUAGAGAUAAACAAACUUAGUGAAUGCAUCGAUCUGCACUAUAACGUAUUCAUUUAGGUCAUUCUCUCCACUUAAUUUGUGUUUUGUCUAUGGCAGGUUUUUAUAAUUUGCAUGUGAUUCAAUUUUCUACAUACUUUCACACAUACUUCGACAUAUUCUGAAACCAAUACUGAGUGUACACUUUAUCUAAAGUCUUCUCCCAGCCCAAAUGCAUUAUAGCUUCGUGUACGUGAUUAAUGACACCAUCUGAAAGCCCCAGGUAUCAGAGCACCUGAAUAUUUAUGGACCAUAUGGAUUUAUGUGGAAUUGUAUUGUUGACCAUUUUCCGCAGUAUUCUUGACUAUUUCUGUUGCUCCGAAGGUUGUCAUUUCAAAACAUGAAUUCAAUUUGAAAAUGGACUUCCGAAAGAUGUUUAAAUCUGGAUCCGUGAUGAUGAGCCGAUGAGUUCAAUGGUUCCGGUGGUGUCUGAGUUUGAGGUUUACACUUUUCCUGGUGCGCAACAUAUGCCAUUUGACUCAUGUCUAUAUUUGACAAUGGGAACAUUUUUGUGUCCACCAAUCAACACUUUCUGAUGUGCGGAAUAUUCAAUAUCUGGCCCGAAUGCGAAUACGAGACGAGGGAACGAAGCGGAUGUAAAUGCUCUAUGUACUUGUCGUUUUCUGUCAAUUUCUCUGAUAUUGUUAUUUAUAUAGUGGCGCCCAAGUCUCCGUUCCAAUUGUCUGUGUUCAUUUUGUACAU